CGCACAAACACACACACACAACUUGAUGACCGAAAGGAUUUUUCAUUACAGUCACAAGACGAAUUGACCUUGAAAAGGGAGAAUGAAAAGUUAAAACAAGAACUGAAAAGGCAAGAGAAAAGGAUUGCGUCCUUGGAAACAGAAAUCCAGAUACUGAAGGCUGGUGCUUCUCAUGGCAAUGACCAGCCACAAAUGGAAACAAGUAACAUUUACGAGUUUCAAUCCGAGGAUUUUUUU